AUAGCGUAUAUUAAAGUUGUUGCAGUUAAAAAGCUCGUAGUUGAAUUUCGAGGGUCAUUUGGCCGGGUCUACUUGGCUUGUCUGAGUGGGCAUUCUGGAUCCAAGGGCCCUGUACCACUUCUUGGGGAACUAGUCUACUCUUUACUGAGUUGGGCUAGGGAGCCAAGACUUUUACCUUGAAAAAAUCAGAGUGUUCAAAGCAGGCAUAUUUGCUCGAAUACAUUAGCAUGGAAUAAUAGAAUAGGACCAUGGUUCUAUUUUGUUGGUUUAUAGGACCAAGGUAAUGAUUAAUAGGGACAGUUGGGGGCAUUUGUAUCGGAUCGUUAGGGGUGAAAUCCUUGGAUCGGUCCGAGACAAACUAAUG
rnacentral:rRNA from 1 species